rnacentral:rRNA from 1 species
CCUACGGGUGGCUGCAGUGGGGAAUAUUGGGCAAUGGGCGCAAGCCUGACCCAGCAACGCCGCGUGAAGGAAGAAGGCUUUCGGGUUGGAAACUUCUUUUCUCAGGGACGAAACGAGUGACGGUACCUGAGGAAUAAGCCACGGCUAACUACGUGCCAGCCGCCGCGGUAAUACGUAGGUGGCAAGCGUUAUCCGGAUUUACUGGGUGUAAAGGGCGUGUAGGCGGGGACGCAAGUCAGAUGUGAAAACCACGGGCUCAACCUGUGGCCUGCAUUUGAUACUGUGUUUCUUGAGUACUGGAGAGGCAGACGGAAUUCCUAGUGUAGCGGUGAAAUGCGUAGAUAUUAGGAGGAACACCAGUGGCGAAGGCGGUUUGCUGGACAGCCACUGACGCUGAGGCGCGAAAGCGUGGGGAGCAAACAGGAUUAGAUACCCUAGUAGUC